UGCGUAGGUGGCGCGCUAAGUCAGGUGUGAAAUUUCGGAGCUUAACUCCGAAACUGCAUUUGAUACUGGCGUGCUUGAGGACUGGAGAGGAGACUGGAAUUCACGGUGUAGCAGUGAAAUGCGUAGAGAUCGUGAGGAAGACCAGUGGCGAAGGCGGGUCUCUGGACAGUUCCUGACACUGAGGCACAAGGGCCAGGGGAAGCAAACG
rnacentral:rRNA from 1 species